AUGGUGGACCUAUUUCCAACUAACUUAAGGGUUAUGGCUGCUGCACUAUCUUUAACGUUUGGGCGAGGAGGCGCUUUAGUAGGAAAUUUACUGUUCGGUUACUUAAUAGAUCUGAAUUGCGUAGUACCAGUUGUGAUAUUCUCGAUUAUGUUAUUUAUAAGCGGUGCAUUGUGUUUCUUCUUGCCAAGCACAGGCAGUGAAGCGCUAGAUUGAAUAACUGUAAUAUCCGAAACAAAGCUACAUCUGUAGAUAUUGAGUAUGUUAAGAUUUUAAUUUGAUAGCUUACCUAUAAUAACGUUUACGCAAAAAUAUAGAUUAUCUGAGAACAAAUAUU